GACUUGUGUGCGCCUGCAUUCUGCGGUCACUUCCCAAAAGGGUUGUCCGACAUGCGGUGCAGGCGCCGUUAAACCUUCAACUGGAUCGCGUCUGGGCUUCAUUGUCUGGGCGCUGUCAUUCGGUUGAUCAUUUACUGUGAGAAAAUUAGAGUGUUCAAGGCAGGCAUUAUUGCAAUUGAAUAUGUUAGCAUGGAAUAAUAAGAUAAGGCUUUCGGCUUAUUUUGUUGGUUUCUAGAUCGGAAGUAAUGAUUGAUAGGGAUAGUUGGGGGUGCUAGUAUUCAACGGCCAGAGGUGAAAUUCAUGGAUUCGUUGAAGACUAACUUAUGCGAAAGCAUU
rnacentral:rRNA from 1 species